UUUUUAUAGUUUAAGUAAAAUAUUACACUGAAAAUGUAAAGAUAAUUGUUAAAAA
rnacentral:tRNA from 1 species